UACGGAGGGGGCGAGCGUUAUUCGGAAUUAUUGGGCGUAAAGGGCGCGUAGGCGGCCCGGUAAGUCAAAGGUGAAAUCCCCCGGCUUAACCUGGGAACUGCGUCUGAUACUGGGAGGCUAGAGUAUGGGAGAGGGAUGUAGAAUUCCAGGUGUAGCGGUGAAAUGCGUAGAUAUCUGGAGGAAUACCGGUGGCGAAGGUGGCAUCCUGGACCAUUACUGACGCUGAGGCGCGAAAGCUAGGGGAGCAAACAGG
rnacentral:rRNA from 1 species